rnacentral:lncRNA from 1 species
GUUUUAUACACACACACACACACACACACACACACACAUAUAUAUAUAUAUAUAUCCUUGUUUUUGUAUAUUUUAAAAUACUAACUUUAUAUACAUUUUAUAUGAAGACAGCUUUAGAGUUAAAUGAAGAACAUUAAUAUGGUCUUCACUAGUAAGUUUUCCAACCUCAACAUUAACCAUUAGAUAUUAAGGAAUGUGAUGUAUGUUCCUCAUGAAGCAGUGGUCCCAUUUAAUACAGAAACCAUUGGAGAAAACACCUUUAUAAGACUCAGCUUUAUAAGAUAGGGACAAAAUGCUGAAAAGAUUCUGAUGAAGAAGUCAGAUCCAGCUGGAGAGAUGCGGAGGUCAGUUACAACUGGGUAACUGCAUUUUGGUUUGCUCAUUGAAGAACAGUUGAGUUCAAUUGUAGGGGGUUGGAUAGAAUUUGGUCAGCUCCAAUUGGCUUGGAGUUGCCCACAGGAACAAUAUGCUCAUUGAAAAAUGGGCACCAGAACAAAGAGAAAAGCAUAGUCGUGAGAAAUGUUAACCCCAAUCCCAUUCACAAUGCCCAGACUAACAAAUAAAUCCAGAUUCUUAGAAUCUACAAAUGCCUUUCUGAAGUCGCAAGUAGUUUUUUUCUUAAUUUAGGCCUGAAAUGGAUUUAAACGGCAUGGUCUUGGAAAUUGAUAAUUUCCUUCUUUCUUUCAGGACUCUCUCUCUUCUUUGUUCCUUUAUGACAUGUUUUAUAAUUUCAUUAAUCAUUCAGAACUUGGAUAAAUAUUAUUGUGUAAUCCUAUUCAUUUGACCUGUACCUAUUUGUUACCCAAUGUUUCUGAUAUAUGUUAAUAGAAAAAUAACUCAAGAAAUAUUUGAGAAAGAAAAUAAGUUUUAGUUCUUUAAACAACUGUAUUAACAACUAUAUUAUUGUAAAGUAAUGACGGUAUACUUCUAUUUAAUAAAUCACAUAAAUUUGCUAUUUAAUCUCCAAUUAUCUCAGGCAAUAAAUAACAGAAAAAAAUUCUUAAUAAAUUCCAAAAUAAAAUCUUUUAUAAUUGAUAAAUCUUUUAUCUGUUUUGCAAAAAAUCUGGAAGAAUUCAGGAAGUUUGUUGCAUCUUUUCUUUUUCUUUAUUGAAGUAUAUUGCUUGUAUUUUUGGCCCAUUGAGAAAGAUCAACUAAUAAGAAAAUAAGGAAAAGUCAGCAAUGAAAAGGGAGGACAAAUAAUCCAAGUUAUUUCUCAAUAAAGCUGGUAUAAAAAUUCCAGUUUACAAUAUUAUUUAUAAAAUGUUUUAGAGAGAUAAAAUUAUCUUUGCAUAAGAAAAUUAUGUGCACUUUUUAGAAAUGGUCAAUGUUGCCUUAAUUUUCUGACUAGAUCUUGACAUUUGAAGAAAAAAUACUUAGAUCUUUCUUCUCACAUGAAUAUGUGAAGAUGGUACUCUUGCAUACUGGAAAACAAUGUUAAUCCAGCAGAGAAUGAAUCAACUCUAUCAUGUGUAACAGUUUGGCUAUUGGCUAUGGCUUCAUCUAAAUGAAAUGGAAGCAUUAAUAUCAUUUCCUGUCUGCUGUGUGAACAGCUUCCUUUCUCCACGAGUACUGAUAUUAGCAGCAGAACUAUGAUCUUAUUAGUUGCAAAUUAUUAAAUUCCUGCAUCUGUUAUUUAUUGCCUGAGAUAAUUGGAUAUUAAAGAGCUAUUUCCUAUGAUGGCUGGCAGAAUUAUGAGUUAAUAUAUCAGCAGGAUAGUAGGUGAGCUAAAAAUUGAUCUAUUCUUUACCUAGCCCAUCAUCCCCUGCAACUAUAGGGUCUUACACAUAUAAUCUAUGAGAAAAAUCAUGAUAUAACUAAGGGGUAAGCAAAUUAAAAAAUCAGGAGAGGAAUGUCACUGUAUCCAUCAAAAAUAAUACAUUAUAAGAGACAAAGAAGGGUAGUGGAAAUGAUCCAGAUUAAUAGAGGC